rnacentral:rRNA from 1 species
AGUGAACGCUGGCGGUAGGCCUAACACAUGCAAGUCGAACGGCAGCACAGUAAGAGCUUGCUCUUACGGGUGGCGAGUGGCGGACGGGUGAGGAAUACAUCGGAAUCUACUUUUUCGUGGGGGAUAACGUAGGGAAACUUACGCUAAUACCGCAUACGACCUACGGGUGAAAGCAGGGGAUCUUCGGACCUUGCGCGAUUGAAUGAGCCGAUGUCGGAUUAGCUAGUUGGCGGGGUACAGGCCCACCAAGGCGCCGAUCCGUAGCUGGUCUGAGAGGAUGAUCAGCCACACUGGAACUGAGACACGGUCCAGACUCCUACGGGAGGCAGCAGUGGGGAAUAUUGGACAAUGGGCGCAAGCCUGAUCCAGCCAUACCGCGUGGGUGAAGAAGGCCUUCGGGUUGUAAAGCCCUUUUGUUGGGAAAGAAAAGCAGCAGGUUAAUACCCCGCUGUUCUGACGGUACCCAAAGAAUAAGCACCGGCUAACUUCGUG